AAUCUGGUUGAUCCUGCCAGUAGUCAUAUGCUUGUCUCAGAGAUUAAGCCAUGCAUGUCUAAGUACAAACCUUCAAACGGUGAAACCGCGAAUGGCUCAUUAAAUCAGCUAUGGUUCCUUGGAUCGUACAUACUACAUGGAUAACUGUAGUAAUUCUAGAGCUAAUACAUGCCACUAUGCCCUGACCCGCAAGGGAACGGGUGGAUUUAUUAGAACAGAACCAACCGGCGGUGACUUCGGUUGCUGUCGUUGCAUUCUGUGAUGACUCUGGAUAACUUUACUGAUCGCAGUCGGCCUUGUGUCGGCGACGGAUCUUUCAAAUGUCUGCCCUAUCAAUUUUCGAUGGUAGGUGACCUGCCUACCAUGGUGAUAACGGGUAACGGGGAAUCAGGGUUCGAUUCCGGAGAGGGAGCCUGAGAAACGGCUACCACUUCCAAGGAAGGCAGCAGGCGCGCAAAUUACCCAAUCCCGGCACGGGGAGGUAGUGACGAAAAAUACGGAUACGGGACUCAUUAGAGGCUCCGUAAUUCGAAUGAGUACAAUUUAAAUCCUUUAACGAGGAUCAACUGGAGGGCAAGUCUGGUGCCAGCAGCCGCGGUAACUCCAGCUCCAGAAGCGUAUAUUAAAGUUGUUGCAGUUAAAAAGCUCGUAGUUGGAUCUGGGUCGCAUGGCUACAUGCCGUUGCUCGUAUUCCUGGCCUGGUUCACACCGGGACGGGUUUGUGAGUCGGUGUCGUGGUUGUGCAGCCUUUCUGCCGUGUCUGUUUCGACAGGUGUUAGCAUGAUUGGUGGGUUCGUCCUGCUGAUCUGUUGACAUGCUUCCAGGUGCCCUUAACCGGGUGUCGGGGGCGGACGGCACGUUUACUUUGAACAAAUUUGAGUGCUCAAAGCAGGCCCGUGUGCCUGAAAAUUCUUGCAUGGAAUAAUGGAAUAGGACUUCGGUUCUAUUUUGUUGGUUUUCGGAUCCGAAGUAAUGGUUAAAAGGGACAGACGGGGGCAUUUGUAUGGCGGUGUUAGAGGUGAAAUUCUUGGAUCACCGCCAGACAAACUACAGCGAAAGCAUUUGCCAAGGAUGUUUUCAUUGAUCUGGAGCGAAAGUCAGAGGUUCGAAGACGAUCAGAUACCGUCCUCACAAAUUUGAUAGUAUGCAAAAGGGCGCAACCGACGGGGUGCGAAAGGAUUUCGGGAUUCAAGA
rnacentral:rRNA from 11 species